AUUGAACGCUGGCGGCAGGCCUAACACAUGCAAGUCGAGCGAGCGACGGACGGGUGAGUAAUAUCUGGGAAACUGCCUGAUGGGUGGGGAUAUCUCCUGGAAACGGUAGCUAAUACCGCAUACCAUCAGAUGUGCACACAUGGGAUUAGAGAGUAGGUGGGGGAGCGGAGCACCUAGGCGACGAUCCCUAGCUGGUCUGAGAGGAGGACCAGCCUCACGGGAACUGAGACACGUUCCAGUCUCCUACGGGAGGAAGCAGUGGGGAAUAUUGCACGAUGGGCUGAAGCGUGAUGCAGCCAUGCCGCGUGUGUGAAGAAGGCCUUCGGGUUGUAAAGCACUUUCAGCGGGGAGGCGUUACCCGCAGAAGAGGCACCGGCUAACUCCGUGCCAGCAGCCGCGGUAAUUC
rnacentral:rRNA from 1 species